rnacentral:tRNA from 1 species
GUUGUGGCUCAGCGGUAGAGUGCUCGCUUAGCAUGUGAGAGGCCCUGGGUUCAAUCCUCAGCAUCACA